GGGUGGCUCAGUCGGUUGAGCAUCCGACUUUGGCUCAGGUCGUGAUCUCACACCUCGUGGCUUCGAGCCCUGUGUCGGGCUCUGUGCCGACAGCCUGGAGCCUGUUUCUGAUUCUGUGUCUCCCUCUCUUUCUGCCCCUAACCCACUCGCAUUCUGUCUCUGUUUCUCUCAAAAAUAAACAAACAUUAAAAUAUAUUAAAAAAAAAAAACUACAUAUGAAAUGCUUAAAGAAAUAAUGGAAUAAAAAAGUAGGCAAGAUAUAAUCAGAUGUCUUUGAAAAGGAACCAAAGAAAAAUACAUACAGUUAUUGAAAUUAAAUACUCAGUGGAUGGGUUCAAUGGCAGAUUAGAGCCAACAGAAGGAAGAAUUUCUGAACUACAAAAUAAACCUGAAGAAAUACAAAAGUCCAAUGAGACUGGAACUCCAAUUCCUGCUUGGCUUCCUUCACAUUCUGCUUGAGGUAGAGCACUAGACUUCCACUUCAUCUUCAUGGACCUGGGUGAUGAUGUGGCUCCCUGUCAUCCAUGAGGUUACUGUCAAGGUCAUUUUUAAACUCUUAAUGCCGGAUCAGGAAAACCCUUCCCAAGGGGGGAAGCCAUUGAGCUUAGGUGGUUCAAAGAGAAGAUGUAUAGGGGACUUAAAAUAGGUAAAUUCUCCCUUGGGGAAGAGGGAGCAAGCAGUCUUGUUCCGUGUAGUCCCACGGUGGUAGGAAUUACAGAGAGGUAGACUUGAGUUAUCAAAGAGUUUUCUAAAAGAGCUGCUCAAAGAGGGGAUAAAAUUUUCAUGAGAUAAGGGAUCCCCCAUCAUUGGAGGCAUACAAGUAUAAACCAGACUCCCAAAGGCUGGUUACAUCAGAAUCUCUUAGUAUGGCAGAAACCAUUGUUCACCAAAAUGCUUUUUCUUCCUUUUCUAUUGUAAAUAGGACUCUCAGUUUUUAGCCGGAUAUAUGGUUUAUCAGAAUAAAGACUCCUCAGGUGGU